GGGCAGAUGUCCGAACUGGCUAAGGAACCGGUCUUGAAAACCGGCGAAGGUGUAACAGCCGUCUGGGUUCGAAUCCCAGUCUGCCCGCCA
rnacentral:tRNA from 1 species